rnacentral:lncRNA from 1 species
GUUUUAUGAUUUGAAAAAUGGUGCAAAGAUUGGCAUAAAAGUUGAAAAAGAGGGGAAAUGGAGAAAAAGAAAAGUUCGUCCAUUUUUUGACACUUAAAGUAGAGCUACAUUUGCGUGCAAAAAAAGUAAAAGCACAGGCCAUGAAUUUUUGGCGACUUAAUUUUUUUAAAUAAAAUUUGGUGAUGAGGGAUUAUGUAGAUAUAAGUAUAG